rnacentral:rRNA from 1 species
UACGUAGGGGGCAAGCGUUGUCCGGAUUUAUUGGGCGUAAAGAGCGUGUAGGCGGCUUUGCAAGUCCGUUGUGAAAACUCGAGGCUCAACCUCGAGACGCCGGUGGAAACUGCAAAGCUAGAGUCCGGAAGAGGAGAGUGGAAUUCCUGGUGUAGCGGUGAAAUGCGCAGAUAUCAGGAAGAACACCCGUGGCUAAGGCGGCUCUCUAGUACGGUACUGACGCUGAGACGCGAAAGCGUGGGGAGCAAACAGG